CACGCCGUAAACGAUGGGUGCUAGUUGUCGGGCAGCUUGCUGUUCGGUGACGCAGCUAACGCAUUAAGCACCCCGCCUGGGGAGUACGGUCGCAAGAUUAAAACUCAAAGGAAUUGACGGGGGCCCGCACAAGCGGUGGAGCAUGUGGUUUAAUUCGACGCAACGCGCAGAACCUUACCAACCCUUGACAUCCCGGUCGCGCUUUCCAGAGAUGGAUCGCUUCAGUUCGGCUGGACCGGAGACAGGUGU
rnacentral:rRNA from 1 species